GGCGUGCUGAAGAAGCUCCGCCUCCGCAUGGGCGGAGCCUCGGUUCGGGGCGUGCUGAAGACGCUCCUCCUCCGCGAGAUCGACCAUCCGUGUUUGUGUUGACGGUGGCGCGCGCGACCUGCUUCGCGGCAACCCUUGGUGACGGUGACGGGACGUUGGAAUCACUUCUUUUGGAACAUUUUGAAAACGUUGAACGUAAAACGCUUUAAUUUUUCUGUCAGGACAACAUGGAAGUACAGCCAAAUCUUUGCAGAGAUCUGUUCAAGGAUUUGAAAGAGCAACAAAGUUAUGACAAUGAUGUCACCCUUGCCCGACUGGAGGAUCUUUGUGAUGUUUCAUCCUUGCCAGACACAAGUCAUUAUCACAUUGCAGAGGCUUUUGAAGAGAUGGAGGGAACAAGUGAGGAACUUGUGGAUAAUGAUGGAAUUAAAUUCCUCCUGAGCCUGCUGCAGCACCUGGGAACAGAUAUUAAAGAGGAUGAUGAGGAAAGCUGUGGGGUGCAGCGCCUCGCACUGGGCCUGUUGCAGUGCUUGAGUAGCACCCCCUGGCUGCAUGAAGCACUCAUUAAAGAACAGGCUGAAAUGGUCCUCACUCCAGUUCGUGACAACCAUUCAGAUGAGACAUGCCAACAUCAAGCAAGCCUUAUACUUGACAAGAUGGAAGAGAUUUCCAAGUGUGACCCCAUGGAGAGAAAAAGAGUUGACUUUGACAAGCCCAGGGUGGCUCUGAGAAGACUACCAGGGUACCAUGCUUCUGAUGCUGCUCGUCAUCAGGUGACAAAUUUGUGUGCCAGUCUUCUGGACGAUCUAUGGAAACAGAAAACGUAUGCGGACAGGCUCACAGAAAACCGGCUUUCAGAUCUCAACCAGCUUGUCACAAUGUUGGGAGCUGACCGUCAAGAACUGCAGAAAAUCUUCAAGUCGCGCAAGGCUUAUGGUCGGUAAUUCUUCAUCAGGCUGCACAAAAUGACUUGCUUGUUUUGUUUCUUUGUACAACACUGAAGCUUGUGUAGCAGUGUAAAUAAUGACUGCAAAAUCAUUGUAUGAAUUGAACCUAAAUUUAAUAGCAAACAAAAGGGCAACGGCAUGGAAGCCUUUCAAUCAGGAGGAGACCUGUCAAGCCUGAUGACACACACAACCAAGUGUUCGAGGAGGGCUCCUCCCCCCUCGACCACAAGACCAGGCUAAAAUUCACAAACUUGGAGUAACCAUCAAUAACAACAACAAUUUCAAUAGGUAAAAUCAACAACUGUAAUUAAUUGUAUGAAAAAAUGUCUCAUCGAGAAUAGUAGAAACUGUAAGCAGUACCAGAGAGCCCAGCAUGUACCUGGGAACACGAACAACACAUGGCUACCAAAAACAUCACAGCAGCUGAAGUGACUCGUCACUCUCCAAUGGCAAACAUAUAAUAUAUAUA
rnacentral:lncRNA from 1 species